CCCCAGCGCCACAAGUGGCAACCGCGUUUAUUGGGUCUAAAGCGUCCGUAGCCGGUUUGGUAAAUCUCUUGUGAAAUCGUCGGACUUAACCUGACGGCUUGCAGGAGACACUGCCUGACUUGAGACCGGAAGGGGUAUGAAGUAUGGUGCGGGGAACGGUAAAAUGUGAUAAUCCGCGCUAGACUACCAAUGGCGAAGGCAUCAUACCAGGACGGAUCUGACGGUGAGGGACGAAAGCUAGGGGA
rnacentral:rRNA from 1 species